GAUGAACGCUGGCGGCGUGCCUAAUACAUGCAAGUCGAGCGAACGGACGAGAAGCUUGCUUCUCUGAUGUUAGCGGCGGACGGGUGAGUAACACGUGGAUAACCUACCUAUAAGACUGGGAUAACUUCGGGAAACCGGAGCUAAUACCGGAUAAUAUUUUGAACCGCAUGGUUCAAAAGUGAAAGACGGUCUUGCUGUCACUUAUAGAUGGAUCCGCGCUGCAUUAGCUAGUUGGUAAGGUAACGGCUCACCAAGGCAACGAUGCAUAGCCGACCUGAGAGGGUGAUCGGCCACACUGGAACUGAGACACGGUCCAGACUCCUACGGGAGGCAGCAGUAGGGAAUCUUCCGCAAUGGGCGAAAGCCUGACGGAGCAACGCCGCGUGAGUGAUGAAGGUCUUCGGAUCGUAAAACUCUGUUAUUAGGGAAGAACAUAUGUGUAAGUAACUGUGCACAUCUUGAUGGUACCUAAUCAGAAAGCCACGGCUAACUACGUG
rnacentral:rRNA from 1 species